GUCUAUGGCCAUGCCACCCUGAACAAGCCUGAUCCCGUCUGUUCUAGGAAGCUAAGCAGGGUCGAGCCUGGUUAAUACUUGGAUGGGAGACCACCUAGGAAGACCAGAUGAUGUAGGCA
rnacentral:rRNA from 1 species